GACGAACGCUGGCGGCGUGCCUAAUACAUGCAAGUAGAACGCUGAAGAGAGGAGCUUGCUCUUCUUGGAUGAGUUGCGAACGGGUGAGUAACGCGUAGGUAACCUGCCUUGUAGCGGGGGAUAACUAUUGGAAACGAUAGCUAAUACCGCAUAAAAAUGGAUGACACAUGUCAUUUAUUUGAAAGGGGCAAUUGCUCCACUACAAGAUGGACCUGCGUUGUAUUAGCUGGUAGGUGAGGUAAUGGCUCACCUAGGCGACGAUACAUAGCCGACCUGAGAGGGUGAUCGGCCACACUGGGACUGAGACACGGCCCAGACUCCUACGGGAGGCAGCAGUAGGGAAUCUUCGGCAAUGGGGGCAACCCUGACCGAGCAACGCCGCGUGAGUGAAGAAGGUUUUCGGAUCGUAAAGCUCUGUUGUAAGUCAAGAACGGGUGUGAGAGUGGAAAGUUCACACUGUGACGGUAGCUUACCAGAAAGGGACGGCUAACUACGUG
rnacentral:rRNA from 1 species